rnacentral:rRNA from 1 species
CAGCAGCCGCGGUAAUACGUAGGUGGCAAGCGUUGUCCGGAAUUAUUGGGCGUAAAGGGCUCGCAGGCGGUUUCUUAAGUCUGAUGUGAAAGCCCCCGGCUCAACCGGGGAGGGUCAUCGGAAACUGGGAAACUUGAGUGCAGAAGAGGAGAGUGGAAUUCCACGUGUAGCGGUGAAAUGCGUAGAGAUGUGGAGGAACACCAGUGGCGAAGGCGACUCUCUGGUCUGUAACUGACGCUAAGGAGCGGAAGCGUGGGGAGCGAACAGGAUUAGAUACCCGCGUAGUCCCUGUCUCUUAUAC